UUGUUUUCCCCUAAAGGAUGUAAUGCUACAUGAUAUGGAUUCUGCCAAUGCACAACCUCAAGGUGCGCAAGAAUCGAUUGAUGAGUGCAAACAGUGGAUAUGGUGGCUUAGGAGUACAGGGACAGAAUCGAUUGAUGAGUGUUGUGCUUCCACAAGGUAUUGAAGUAUUUCUUUGUGGUGACAAGAGCUUCUUGAUUCAGGAUCUCCGUAGGUGAUUUCAAUGCUAGGGAACUCUUAUCCCAAUGCUGGUGGUCCACUUUCACAAAGCCAUGUUAUGGAUAUGUUGAAUGAUGUAAACUCAAGUGAUAAUUCUCGUUUUGACAUGAAUGACUUCCCUCAACUGACUAGUCGACCUAGUUCUGCUGGAGGGCCUCAAGCACAAUUAGGUGCAAACGAAGAUUUCCAGCUUUGCCAGGAUUCAAAGGUGUAGUAACUGGAGAAGAUAUGUGACCUGAUUGGCUGUUAUGCAUUUCUUUCUAGCAAUUUUGGCUGUUUUAUGUUAUCAAAUAGUUUUUUUGUAUAGUUGCCUUAUGAUUUGUUGUUUAAAGAGUCUCUUCUUACAGAGUUGAGUUAUAGACUGAAUUAUGCACUUUCUCUUAUGAAAAGUUUUAUGGAUUUACGUGCA